GGGUUAGUAGGUUGGUCAUGCCUCUGGUAUGUACUGGUCUCACUGAUUCCUCCUUCCUGAUGAACCGUAAUGCCAUUAAUUUGGCGUUGCGGGGAAUUUGGACUGUUACUUUGAAAAAAUUAGAGUGUUUAAAGCAAGCUUAUUGCUCGAAUACAUUAGCAUGGAAUAAUGAAAUAGGACGUUUGAUCCUAUUUUGUUGGUUUCUAGGAUUGACGUA
rnacentral:rRNA from 1 species